GCGCCCGUAGCUUAAUGGAUAUAGCGUUGGAUUCCGGUUCCAAAGGUUGGGGGUUCGAGUCCCUCCGGGCGUA
rnacentral:tRNA from 1 species